GUCUUCGGAUGGAUAGAAGAACCCCUGAUGCCGUCGAGCCAAGAAAAGUUUCUAAGUUUAGCUAAUGUUGCCCGUACCGUAAACCGACACAGGUGGGUGGGAUGAGUAUUCUAAGGCGCGUGGAAGAACUCUCUUUAAGGAACUCUGCAAAAUAGCACCGUAUCUUCGGUAUAAGGUGUGGUUAGCUUCGUACUAGGAUUUACUCCGAAAGCGAAGAAACUUACAACAAAGAGUCCCUCCCGACUGUUUACCAAAAACACAGCACUCUGCUAACUCGUAAGAGGAUGUAUAGGGUGUGACGCCUGCCCGGUGCUCGAAGGUUAAUUGAUGGGGUUAGCAUUAGCGAAGCUCUUGAUCGAAGCCCGAGUAAACGGCGGCCGUAACUAUAACGGUCCUAAGGUAGCGAAAUUCCUUGUCGGUUAAAUACCGACCUGCAUGAAUGGCGUAACGAGAUGGGAGCUGUCUCAAAGAGGGAUCCAGUGAAAUUGUAGUGGAGGUGAAAAUUCCUCCUACCCGCGGCAAGACGGAAAGACCCCGUGGACCUUUACUACAGCUUGACACUGCUACUUGGAUAAGAAUGUGCAGGAUAGGUGGGAGGCUUUGAGUAUAUGACGCCAGUUGUAUAUGAGCCAUUGUUGAGAUACCACUCUUUCUUAUUUGGGUAGCUAACCAGCUUGAGUUAUCCUCAAGUGGGACAAUGUCUGGUGGGUAGUUUGACUGGGGCGGUCGCCUCCCAAAUAAUAACGGAGGCUUACAAAGGUUGGCUCAGAACGGUUGGAAAUCGUUCGUAGAGUAUAAAGGUAUAAGCCAGCUUAACUGCAAGACAUACAAGUCAAGCAGAGACGAAAGUCGGUCUUAGUGAUCCGGUGGUUCUGUGUGGAAGGGCCAUCGCUCAAAGGAUAAAAGGUACCCCGGGGAUAACAGGCUGAUCUCCCCCAAGAGCUCACAUCGACGGGGAGGUUUGGCACCUCGAUGUCGGCUCAUCGCAUCCUGGGGCUGGAGCAGGUCCCAAGGGUAUGGCUGUUCGCCAUUUAAAGCGGUACGCGAGCUGGGUUCAGAACGUCGUGAGACAGUUCGGUCCCUAUCUGCCGUGGGCGUAAGAAGAUUGAAGAGAUUUGACCCUAGUACGAGAGGACCGGGUUGAACAAACCACUGGUGUAGCUGUUGUUCUGCCAAGAGCAUCGCAGCGUAGCUAAGUUUGGAAAGGAUAAACGCUGAAAGCAUCUAAGCGUGAAGCCAACUCUAAGAUGAAUCUUCUCUAAGCUCUCUAGAAGACUACUAGUUUGAUAGGCUGGGUGUGUAAUGGAUGAAAGUCCUUUAGCUGACCAGUACUAAUAGAGCGUUUGGCUUAUCUUUAAUAAAGCAU
rnacentral:rRNA from 1 species